UACGGGGGGGGCAAGCGUUGUUCGGAAUUACUGGGCGUAAAGGGCUCGUAGGCGGCCAACUAAGUCAGACGUGAAAUCCCUCGGCUUAACCGGGGAACUGCAUCUGAUACUGGAUGGCUUGAAUCCGGGAGAGGGAUGCAGAAUUCCAGGUGUAGCGGUGAAAUGCGUAGAUAUCUGGAGGAAUACCGGUGGCGAAGGCGGCAUCCUGGACCGGCAUUGACGCUGAGGAGCGAAAGCCAGGGGAGCAAACGGG
rnacentral:rRNA from 1 species